GACGAACGCUGGCGGCGUGCUUAACACAUGCAAGUCAAACGGAAAGGCCCUGCUUUUGUGGGGUGCUCGAGUGGCGAACGGGUGAGUAACACGUGAGUAACCUGCCCUUGACUUUGGGAUAACUUCAGGAAACUGGGGCUAAUACCGGAUAGGAGCUCCUGCUGCAUGGUGGGGGUUGGAAAGUUUCGGCGGUUGGGGAUGGACUCGCGGCUUAUCAGCUUGUUGGUGGGGUAGUGGCUUACCAAGGCUUUGACGGGUAGCCGGCCUGAGAGGGUGACCGGCCACAUUGGGACUGAGAUACGGCCCAGACUGCUACGGGAGGCAGCAGUGGGGAAUAUUGCACAAUGGGCGGAAGCCUGAUGCAGCAACGCCGCGUGCGGGAUGACGGCCUUCGGGUUGUAAACCGCUUUCGCCUGUGACGAAGCGUGAGUGACGGUAAUGGGUAAAGAAGCACCGGCUAACUACGU
rnacentral:rRNA from 1 species